UCUCCGGCGUAACCCGGAGUCAUACAACUUCACAUUUGGGUGAUGGGGCCUACCAUGUUUCUUCACUAGUGUAACCCAAUGUCGUAUAGCUUCACCUUCAGGUGAUGGACAAGUACUACCUUAGGACGACUAUGAUAUCCCUAGAGAGUACAGCAUUGAUGAGGUUUAUGGAUUUUCCUUCGGGCGACGAUAACACCAUUAUUGACCUUUGUUUUACACGCACUUGUUUUAUGAACGAUUUCAUGGCAUGCUAGAGUUUUCAAAAAACUUACUAUGUAGUACUAUAUAUAUGUUUUCAAAGCAGGGGUUAGUAUGUUCAGAAAGAAAACAAUUUUCUUAUUAUUAGUAUUAUUAUUAUAAACUUUGGUCCACUCACCUUUUCUGUUUUGCGCCCCCUUCAUGAUUUAGAUUCGAGGCACACGAUCCUGGCAUUAGGGCACUACUGCUUAGGCAUCUUCGAGUCUUCUUCGUGUAGGACCUAUUCCUUGGUUCGUGCCUUUCUAUUAUAAUUCAUUCACAUUAUUCUUAAGUAGUUGUAUGCUCUGAACACAGUUUUGCAUUGGUAUAUCUUUUUCUAGUUACAUAUUUUAUUUAUAUGCAUGUUUAAAAUGGCUUCGUCACCCUCAGGUGUCGGCCAGCAAGUUCCUAUCCUGGUAUUUGGGGAUAUCGGGAUCAUGGCAUGUCAGUUUGGUAUCAAAGCAUGGUUUAUUCAGAGCAUACCUAGGAUCUUCUCCUACUCUAGUAGUGUGUCAGCCUUGAUAUCAUUUGGAUGUCACGUCUUCUGUCUAUUGAUGUCCUUCAGCAUGGUUGUGUAACCCUUAUUCUGCUUGAAUGGUCACAUCCUAAUUAAAGUAUAAAAAAUUCGUGUCGGGAUUGUGCCUCAACUUCGAUGUAAUUAAUUGAUGAAUGACAUUGAAUAUAGAACAGUUACUCUGCAACAUGUGUUCCUUAGGAAUGGUGGGCAGAGUCGGUUCUGCAUAGUGACUUGAAUUAGUGGAAAUCUUAGUGUAAGGAAGUCUAGUUAGGAUUAGUUGAGGAUCGGUGGUGAUGAUGAAACUCUGCGAAAUGUGUUCCUUAGGAAUGGCGGGCAGAGGUAUAUUUGUUGAGAAAUUGUUUAUGACAUCCGAAGUUGUGCUAGAGAAAGUUAAGGAAACACCAGUUGUAAGCGAAAUUAGUAGGCAUCUGUAGGGUAGACCGAAUUAACUUCCUCGGGCUUCUUGUUUCCACUAAGGAAAUUUGUGUGGACCCUCAGGAAAUUUCUCAGUGAUUCUUUUACUGAUAAUAUCCUUGCCUACUCUGACCACUAGGUCAGUUAUUAAGCACCCACAGCUAGCUUUAUACCACAUUCUUCCAAUGUAGACAUUACUUGGAGUUCAUACUUUCUUUUGGAGAUGUGAACAUAACAGGAGAUAUUAUUACCAAAUCCAAAAUUAUGACAGCUGGAAAUCGAGAAUCUUCUCGAGUGGCGUGAAUUACAAAAUACCAUUAGUGGUGUCGAUUCUAUCGAUAAUUAUCAACGAUUCGUUGACCAUAGUGAUGAGUAGAUUUUAUAUUAUAUAUUUUAUCCUAUUCUUAGUAUAUUUUGGUUAAUAUUUUGGAAGAAUUUUGAUGCUUUGAAUUGUAUUUUCAAUAUAGGACUUUCGACUUCCUCUGGAGCAAAACAGGACCAAAUGGACGAAUUUUGGAGUAAUUCUAGUUGGAGGAUGUUCGUGAGUCACUUAGCUUGAUCGUAUCAAAAUUUGGGAUUUUUCCACCAAGCGGUUAUUUUCUGGCGAUAAAAUAUUAACCAAAAUAUACUAAGAAUAGGAUAAAAUAUAUAAUAUAAAAUCUACUCAUCACAUAGUCCUACUUUCAUUUCCUUAGGCUAGGAAAAAGACAGUUUUGUUCG
rnacentral:lncRNA from 1 species